rnacentral:tRNA from 1 species
AAGAAAUUAGUUAAAUCAUAACAUUAGAAUGUCAAACUAAAAUUAUUAAAAAUUAAUAUUUCUUA